UACAGAGGUCCCAAGCGUUGUUCGGAUUCACUGGGCGUAAAGGGUGCGUAGGUGGUGAGGUAAGUCGGAUGUGAAAGCUCGGAGCUCAACUCCGAAAUGGCAUUGGAAACUACCUUGCUCGAGGGUUGGAGGGGGGACUGGAAUACUUGGUGUAGCAGUGAAAUGCGUAGAUAUCAGGAGGAAUACCGAUGGCGAAGGCAGGUCUCUGGGCUGACACUGACGCUCAUGCACGAAAGCGUGGGGAGCAAACAGG
rnacentral:rRNA from 1 species